rnacentral:misc_RNA from 1 species
GCAAACUUGGUCAUUUAGAGGAAGUAAAAGUCGUAACAAGGUUUCCGUAGGUGAACCUGCGGAAGGAUCAUUACAGAGUCCGGUCCCCAGUGGCCGUCCCUCCGCGGGACGGUCCCCGGGGUGCCACCUCCAACGGGGCGGGGCUCCUCCACCCGGAGGGUGCCCCGUCCCACCCUUUUUUGAACCCGUGGAAGCGAGGAAAACCGGGGCGGUGCGUGCGGGUCCGUCUCACGACGGCCACCCGGUGCACCGUCCCAGCCAUCCGUGGCACCUGGCACAGCCAAUGUACACAAAACUUUCAGCAACGGAUCUCUUGGUUCCCGCAUCGAUGAAGAACGCAGC